CUUGGGUGGAGUGAGUUCAAAGCUGCUCAUGAAACAUUUACUUAUGAUUUUCCCUAAAGGAAAACCAUUUUCCCACUCUUCCUCCUUUCUCUCAUUCCACUUACUGUUGCUGCUAAAGAGACAACUUAGUAAAUGAUCAUACAAUUUAGUGCAAGGAUUGGUUUUAGAAUAGGUAACAGGGAAUCUUAACUGAAUAGUAUCUAAUUUCAGAGCAUAACACAGCUAAUUCAGACAAUGACAUAGAGAUGAUGAGAAACAGCACAGUUUGGUAGAGGGAACAUUUGAUUCAGACUCUGCCCAUUUUUAGCUGUACGACUUACACAAGUCACUUUAUGUCCAACCCUCAUUUUCUCCCAUAUAAAAAGUGGAGGGGCUAGAUUGCAUGAUUAAAAUCCCCUUCCAGCUCUAAGAAUCCAUGGUAUUAUGAUCUCUGCUUUAGUUUCUUCUUUCUUAAGAGGCUUACCACUAUAAAAUAUUACUCAUUUAUAUCUUUAGUCAGAAGAGCCCACAAUAAUGAAUAAUCAACUUAUAUUUUUCUCACUCCCUUUGGAGGAAAUUAAACCAAAACCUCUAUUCAUCUGAUGUUUUACAGCAAGCUUGGAAGGUGGCCAUGCUGAUCUGCAGCUUGGUGUUUUGGGACAACAAACAUCCUUUUGUAAAAGUUCCCUUUACUUAAACUCACUCUCCUAGUAGAAGUAGUGAUUCAGCUCAGGGAAAAUGCUGCCAGUGUCACCAUGAGGGGACAGACAGGUCUGCAGCCUCUCUCAAGGUCUUGUAUCAUUCCUGCCGCAGCAACAGAGCCCACUCUGAAUACCCAAAACACACAGUUUUCUCCAAACAGCCUUAAUUGCCAACCCAGUAUGGGAAUGUGGGAGGCUUUGGCAAAUAAACUUGAACACUCUUAUGAAAUUUGAUGCAAGACUUACACAAUCACAGCAACUGUGUGUUAAUACCUUCCUUCCUCUGCCCAUCUGCAGACACACACACACAUCCAUUUACAAGUAAGUCAGGCGAAGUCCUGUCUCAGGAGGGGUAUGCAGGGAUACUUGAUUGAAUUAAUUUUCAAAUUUUCCUCUUGGUUUGCUUUUGUCGUGGGCACCACAUCACAGGUAGAGAAGCUCUUACAAGAAUGGAGUUUUGCUGACUGUCCUUGCCCUCUUCAAUGCUGGAGGAGUUUCUAGGGUAGGUGGGAUACAAUGCACGGUCUGCAAGGUGCAUGCCACCAGCCAUGACCUUGAAACAACCUCUUGCACUUUCCGGUACUGCUGCAAUGGGCCAUUGCUUGCAUCUUUGCUCUUUGUCCAAACUUCUGCUAAAUACAGAGUGGAGUUGGUAUUUAUUGUGUUGUUAGUAAUUUUAUUGCCAGAGAAGACUUUGGCUCUUUAUAUUUGGAGAAGAGAGAUGUAAAACUAGGACUAGAAGGAUUGGUUUCUUUGUUUUUUCCAUUAGUGCAGAACACCUGAUGCAAGAGCAGCAAGAUAAAUGUGAUUUCAUAAUUCUCCAUAUAAGAACCUAUAGAAUAGUGAGAAACACCCCUAAGUUCCUAUUUUAUCCACUCUAAAUAAUAUCAUGAAUAAUUACCGAUCAGUUUUUUCUAUGUCCAGCCUUGCUUCACCUUCCAAAUUUUCGACCAAGUAUCCAUUUUGAUAUUUUAAAAAGUCCUUCUGGUGGUUAUGUGCGGCCCUUUAGUGCUAAGAAUAAAACUUACCACUGGAGUAGAACUCACUGUUCUGCAGAGUCAGCACUUGACCCAGGGAAUGGGUAGCAACAGGAGCCCAGUUCCUUUGGAGACACCCCAAUCCCAGGGUGAGUGUUGGAACCUAACAAACGACUGUUACCCUGUCAUUGUCCCCUGUGGAGCUGGGGAUGGUGAAGUCAGAGCCUUGUUCCUUCUGGGACUCCAUUGCUUCUCAUGGCAACCAUUUGGCCUGCUUGGAAACAGCCUUUGGUAGGAGACAAAUACACAUACUAGCUGAGGAGGUCAGUCCAGCACAUCUCUGAGGUUUCUCCCGCACGGAGCAAAGACUCUGAGAUGCAUGAUAAGAAAGCCAGCUCUCUGGGGGCUUACUAUUCCACGAGUUACUUUCCUUACGAGGAACUCAUCCUUUGGCAUCUAGACUUUUCUACAAAUCACUUUCACUCCCUUCCUUCCUCCUUCCCCUGGAAAACCUCAGCAUUGCAUCUCCAUGUUGCACAGCACAGAUCAGAUUAUCUGAUCACUCUAGAGAUUUGUAUAUAAAAAGACUACUUUUUGGAGGAUUUUUGUAUAUUGUUUUUCUAUUUCUUUUCUACAGUUUGAGGAGAGAGCUGGCAAUCUGUGAAUCUAAUUUGAUCUUGCUGCCAGCAGAUAUAUUUUGGUUUCCUGGUAAGAAUCUAUGUUACCAGGGACAAUAUAUUGUUCUCCGAUCAGUAUUGCACCCCAAAUCCACAGAUUUCUCCAGCCCAGUCUUACGUAUUUUUAAAGCAAAUCCCCAAGCCUCUUUGCUAUUAUUUAUAAAGCACAUGAGAAAAUGUAUCUAUAACCCUGGAUAUUAUAUGUUUAAUAUUAACUUAGCCUUUAAUAUUGUUAUAGGUUUGUAUCUACUCUUCAGAAUUCAUAAAGAACUCAGUGUAGACUGAAUUCAUCUAUUUAGUAUCUGUAAUUUUGCAGACAGAUAUUUUCUUAUAGCAUUUUCUAUAUAACCACAUAUGUAGCAUUAUGACUAAUUAGAGCACAAGAAGUUUCUACAGUAAUUUAGAGCGAUCAAUUGUUUCCUGAGCAUAAAGUCACAUUGGAAAAACUUAAAAACCCAGUCCUUAGUGAUGCAAUGAAUGAAAUGACUAAUUAAGAACAAGAAAUUGCUUAAAUCCCUUAGCUGGUUAGGAUAUACAUCUAAACAAUUAGUCUUUUUAACUUGAGGAAUGGUGCUGAUUUCUUAUCAUUUUCUUAUUAUUUUUUUGACACUAGGCCUUGUUUUUCCAGCUAAGAAUUCUAAUUUUGAUUUUCUUUAAGAUGAUCAAAGACAUGAUGAUAAUAGUGGGAUCAUUUUUAUAUCAGAAUGUCCCAUAUCUUCCUAAAUGUUUAUGUGAAAACUGGCUCAGGAAAACUUUGAGUAGCAGAGACUGAGGACCUGUGCUAGGAAGGAAAUCAGGAAAGAUUUGUUGCAGUUAACUCUUGUCAAGCAGAUUGGUAGAAAAU